rnacentral:rRNA from 1 species
AGUGAACGCUGGCGGUAGGCCUAACACAUGCAAGUCGAACGGCAGCGCAGGAGAGCUUGCUCUCUGGGUGGCGAGUGGCGGACGGGUGAGGAAUACAUCGGAAUCUACUCUGUCGUGGGGGAUAACGUAGGGAAACUUACGCUAAUACCGCAUACGACCUACGGGUGAAAGCAGGGGACCUUCGGGCCUUGCGCGAUUGAAUGAGCCGAUGUCGGAUUAGCUAGUUGGCGAGGUAAAGGCCCACCAAGGCGACGAUCCGUAGCUGGUCUGAGAGGAUGAUCAGCCACACUGGAACUGAGACACGGUCCAGACUCCUACGGGAGGCAGCAGUGGGGAAUAUUGGACAAUGGGCGCAAGCCUGAUCCAGCCGUACCGCGUGGGUGAAGAAGGCCUUCGGGUUGUAAAGCCCUUUUGUUGGGAAAGAAAUCCAGCUGGCUAAUACCCGGUUGGGAUGACGGUACCCAAAGAAUAAGCACCGGCUAACUUCGUGCCAGCAGCCGCCGCAG